AGAACCUGACCACAAAUCCUCAUGGACAGGGCCGGAUCCAGACACCAGCCCACCAAGCACAUGCUUGGGGCAGCACCUCGGGAGGGGGCGGCACUCAGGGUUUGUUUUUGGAUUUUUUUGGUUCGGCCGCGCGGCA